UCGAGAAUUUUUCACAAUGGGGGCAACCCUGAUGGAGCGACGCCGCGUGGAGGAUGAAGGUCUUCGGAUUGUAAACUCCUGUCAUGCGGGAACAAGAAAGUGAUAGUACCGCAAGAGGAAGAGACGGCUAACUCUGUGCCAGCAGCCGCGGUAAUACAGAGGUCUCAAGCGUUGUUCGGAUUCAUUGGGCGUAAAGGGUGCGUAGGUGGCUGUGCAAGUCUGGUGUGAAAUCUCGGGGCUCAACCCCGAAACUGCACCGGAUACUGCAUGGCUGGAGGACUGUAGAGGAGAGAGGAAUUCACGGUGUAGCAGUGAAAUGCGUAGAGAUCGUGAGGAAGACCAGUUGCGAAGGCGUCUCUCUGGGCAGUUCCUGACACUGAGGCACGAAGGCCAGGGGAGC
rnacentral:rRNA from 1 species